AAAAUCAAAUCUCAAUCAAACUAAAUUAAGUCGGCAUGUACAAACUUAAAUAGGAAGGAUCGUGAUCCAUGCCUAGCUAAUACAACUAAAUGCUAAAGAUAUAGGCUGAAACUGCAGAAUUGUCCAAUAUACAAAGACCAGCCAGUGUUCUGCGUCCAUGUUCCAUUAGAUCGAGCUUAUCUCCCCACAUGCUUUCAGGAAAAUACAUACAUCCUCUUUUCACAUAGAAUCAUUAUGCCAUUGAAAAACAACAUCUUGAAGCCCAUCCUUCAACCCCCCCCACUGAAAUUCCUCAAACUCCGCCCCAUCACCCCCCACCACCCUCACUUCCACCACCAAUAACUUUUCCGCUAUUUCCAACACCUCCAACACCAGAACCACCCUUCCUUUGCCCAACCCAAUUGCCCUACCCUUUCCUUCCUCAACCCUAUAUCC
rnacentral:misc_RNA from 1 species